UUAGAGAGGUAGGAGUCGAACCUACACCUAGGAGAUCAAAACCCCUCGUAAUUCCAUUUUACCACUCUCUA
rnacentral:tRNA from 1 species